rnacentral:rRNA from 1 species
UACGGAGGGGGCAAGCGUUAUUCGGAUUUACUGGGCGUAAAGGGUGUGUAGGCGGUCGUGCAAGUCUGGUGUGAAAUCUUCACCACUCAACGGGAAGAGGUCACUGGAAACUGCAUGACUUGAGUUUGGUAGAGGCUAGCGGAAUUCCUGGUGUAGCGGUGGAAUGUGUAGAUAUCAGGAAGAACACCUGUGGCGAAGGCGGCUAGCUGGGCCAAUACUGACGCUGAGACACGAAAGCGUGGGGAGCAAACGGG